rnacentral:rRNA from 1 species
UACGGAGGGGGCUAGCGUUGUUCGGAAUUACUGGGCGUAAAGCGCGCGUAGGCGGUUUUCCAAGUCAGAGGUGAAAGCCCGGGGCUCAACUCCGGAAUUGCCUUUGAAACUGGGAAACUUGAACACGGGAGAGGUGAGUGGAAUUCCGAGUGUAGAGGUGAAAUUCGUAGAUAUUCGGAGGAACACCAGUGGCGAAGGCGGCUCACUGGACCGUUGUUGACGCUGAGGUGCGAAAGCGUGGGGAGCAAACAGG